CCCCACGCUCAAUCCUCCCUCUCUCACGCUCUCUUUUCUGUCCUGCAGCUGCCAUGGAGGCCUCGUCGCCGGAUCCGGAUACCAAGACUCCGCAGCGCUAUGUGUCUCUCUCUCCUCCCGUUCUCUCUCUCUCUCACUCUCCCUCUUACCGUCUCUCACAGUUUGUUGGUGGCAGAUCCGACCCCCCGACCUCGGCCGCAGCUGUGGAGAGCAGGAACUGUGUCGUGGAGCAAAGUGCCAUGGAGAGCCACCGUGGAGACUAACCUCUCUCCUCUCGUUCUACUUUUUUUUCAUUUUCUCUCUUCUGUAUACCAGCUGCUCUUGCGAGAUCAAUCUGAUUCUGUGAUUUGUUUCAUUGACAACCAAAUCUGUGAUUUUGUUUCAUCGACGACCAAAUUUGUGCCAAAACUUGCAGGCCCGUGGCCUGCCUUUUUUUAAAAUCAUGAGAAUGAUAUCAGUGGCGGGUCCUAGGUGUGACCGCAGUGAUGUGUAUAGCAUCAGCAACAGGCGGACGGCGCACCAUUGAUGAUGUGCUCAUCACUGGCAUCGAGUCAGUGGCGGGCGCCCUGCCCGUCACCGAUAGCGUUUAGGCCCGUUACUGAUGUCCUGUUUUGUAGUAGUGGGCAGUUGGUUUUUAUUCCGACCCAACAACCCUAAGGCCCAAUUGGCCCAAAAAGACUUUUUCAGAUGUGUCUGAAAUAAUCACUUGACAACAAGCAUGUUCACCGAGUGUAUUCCAAAAUGCCCCCUUCAAACUAUUUUUUAACUUUUUUUUCUUCUUUUCUUGAAGUUUUGCAUUGAAAAUUAUUGGUAAUUAUUGGCAUAAUGUACCAAUAACAAAAUUCCUACAUGGGUACGUCAAGAUGAUUUUUUUGGUAAUUUUUAGGAACAAAUCUAUCAUGCACUUGUUAUUAAAAUUAAUUUCAAUUACUUUCGUUAUCCAUGGGCCGAAAUUCAUUUGAAUGGUAAAAGUAGCCAGAAAUGUAUAGAAAAAUUAAAAUCUUUGGACACUAGCCCCUAAAUAUGGUCUACUUUAUGUGAAACUCUUAGAUGUGUUAUUAUGAACCAUAUAUAGAUGCACUUGCUGCACAGAAUACCCCAUUUUUGGGAUUUAGAAAAUGGAAAACGGUUCCUGAAGAAACACAAUUUGCAAAACAAUUGGGCACAUUAUUAUGAACUAUAGCAUGGAA
rnacentral:lncRNA from 1 species